AGCAUGUAAUGAAAUGUUGAGAAAUAUCCAACAUUUGAAGGAUUUUCCUCCUCUCCUUCAUAUUAUUACCACACUACAUCCAGCCUACGCAGAAUGUAUGGAGUACAGAGAUAGAAGGCUCAUGAACCCACCCCUCAGAGCUAAGACAUAGACAACUACUUAAAACAUGUCAAGAGCUGGAAAGCAAGAGGCCUAACCCAGUAAACAAAAUGGACAGUCAGAGAUCAGCACUCACAGAGCUGAGGUAUCAAUGAGAUACCAACCAAUGACCAAGCAGAAAUCAGAACCAAAUGGCAAAAUAGACACAAGCACUGAAGAAAAAGCCUAAAAACUGAUCAAUGGGUGAAGUCAUGGGCCAUGUGGAUUAAACAGCAAGCCAAGAAGACUAAACUGCUAAGCCAAAGAUCAGGAUCAAAGCCAAAGUAAAGAGUUCAUAGGAGCACAUCAGAACCAGAAAGACUUUUUAAAAAAUAGACAGGGGAUUCAGGGCUAAACCAUGUGCUACAGAACUACACAGGCAAGUGCUGAAGGCAACACUUACAGCUCACUACAGAGGACAAAUAUGCAGACAUGAAGCAGUUCCCAGUUCAACUCCCAUGGUACCACAACUUAUAGCCGUCCUGACUUAUGACCAAUUCGAGUUACGACCAGCUCCGGCCGCAAAAUUUUGCAUUG